GAAAGUUGCUUUUCAGAGGCGUUCCGGGGCGUUCCAGUAGAAGAGGCCAGGAUAUUUCUUACCGGCACGGCGCUCCGAUCCAGGUGCCACCAUGAUGAAGGGGGAGGAAGAGGAGCGGCCCCUCUCCACAGCAGCCGCCUGAAGGAGGUUGUCAUCUGCCGCAGCAUCGGGACGUCCUGUUGUUGUUGUUCCCUCUUUCUUUAGCGCCGAGGAGCGAGGAACUCCGGAGAAAGAGGACGAGCAGGCACUGCAGGAGACGCUGUGAGAGCCGG